UACGGGGGGGGGCAAGCGUUGUUCGGAAUUACUGGGCGUAAAGAGCUCGUAGGUGGUUUGUCGCGUUGUUCGUGAAAUCUCACGGCUUAACUGUGAGCGUGCGGGCGAUACGGGCAGACUGGAGUACUGCAGGGGAGACUGGAAUUCCUGGUGUAGCGGUGGAAUGCGCAGAUAUCAGGAGGAACACCGGUGGCGAAGGCGGGUCUCUGGGCAGUAACUGACGCUGAGGAGCGAAAGCGUGGGGAGCGAACAGG
rnacentral:rRNA from 1 species